CAGUCUGCAACUUUCCAGCAAUAUCUCCAAUCAGCUCCUGAGGACCAGAGGAGGAUUGCUAUGAGUGUCUCUGAACUGCAAGCAUGAGGUUCCCAGGGAGAGCAGACCCACCCUGCCUGGAAGGGCUGAGCUCUAGGAUAGCCGUGGGAUCUCUUUUGGGGCAGGACAAGCACUGUGUCUACGUCUCUGCCAACCCCUGUUGAACCAUCAUGCCCAAGAGGACAGCCAGUGAGAGCCUACAAGCACACCCCAGAGACAAGUACAGUAGGAGAAGCAAAGCUCGUCCUCACCUCGGUUGCC